CGACCACAUUGCGUUUUAACACCGGUUCUCGUCUGAUCACUGAAGUUAAGAACGUCAAAGCCUGGUCGGUACCUAGUGGGUGACUGCUUGAGAAUAUUACGUGUUAUA